rnacentral:tRNA from 1 species
AGGAUUAUAGUUAACUAUAACAUUUGAUUUGCACUCAAAAAGUAUUGAAUUCCAAUUAAUCUUA